CCUACGGGAGGUAGCAGUGGGGAAUAUUGCGCAAUGGGCGAAAGCCUGACGCAGCGACGCCGCGUGAGGGAUGAAGGUCUUCGGAUCGUAAACCUCUGUCAGCAGGGAAGUACAGUCACUUUGGUAAUCAGGAGUGAAUGGACGGUACCUGCAAAGGAAGGACCGGCUAACUCCGUGCCAGCAGCCGCGGUAAUACGGAGGGUGCGAGCGUUAAUCGGAAUUACUGGGCGUAUAGCGCUCGUAGGCGGUAUGUCAAGUGAAGGGUGAAAUCCCCGCGCUCAACGUGGGAACUGCCUGUGAAACUGGCAAACUGGAGUUUGUGAGAGGAUAGUGGAAUUCCAGGUGUAGGAGUGAAAUCCGUAGAUAUC
rnacentral:rRNA from 1 species